UACGUAGGGGGCAAGCGUUGUCCGGAAUCAUUGGGCGUAAAGAGCGCGUAGGCGGCCCUGUAAGUCCGCUGUGAAAGUCAAGGGCUCAACCCUUGAAUGCCGGUGGAUACUGCAGGGCUAGAGUCCGGAAGAGGCGAGUGGAAUUCCUGGUGUAGCGGUGAAAUGCGCAGAUAUCAGGAGGAACACCGAUUGCGAAGGCAGCUCGCUGGGACGUUACUGACGCUGAGACGCGAAGGCCAGGGGAGCAAACGGG
rnacentral:rRNA from 1 species